rnacentral:rRNA from 1 species
GCAAUAACAGGUCUGUGAUGCCCUUAGAUGUCCUGGGCCGCACGCGCGCUACACUGAUGAUUUCAACGAGUUUUUUUUCUUUGAAAAAUGUCCUUGGCCGGAAGGUCUGGGUAAUCUUUUAAAUGAUCAUCGUGAUGGGGCUAGAUUCUUGCAAUUAUUAAUCUCCAACGAGGAAUUCCUAGUAAACGCAAGUCAUCAACUUGCAUUGAUUACGUCCCUGCCCUUUGUACACACCGCCCGUCG